rnacentral:lncRNA from 1 species
CAUGCUGGUUGUAUUAUCUGUUGGCACUGCAAUGUUGUUGAAAUUUAAGGGGCCAAUUGUAUUAGCGGCAUCCCCUAAGGUGCGUUUGGGAGGAGGUUGAUUGGCCAUCUCCUCAAGAUCUAGUUCAAAAGUCUCGGGUGGAGUAACUUCUGGAGAAAGAGAUCUUUCACAAAAAGGGCGUCUCUUCCUCCUCUCGUAUGGUAGACCUUCUAGCAAAGGAUGUUGGUUUUUCCUGCUUCUAGUAUGUAUUGUUUCCUGCAUGCACAAGAAACACACCCUAAAAGAACUUUAAAAGAAAAUAAGACAAAACACAAUAAAAGAAAAAAAAACAAAAAUAAUUACAAUCAAGUCAAAUUCAAUCAAUUCACACUACUAGACAAAUAAACCUCGAGUCCCCGGCAACGACACCAAAAACUUGUUGACGGAUUGGCAAGUGUACCAAAUCGUACAAGUAAUAUAAAUGGUAAGACUAAGUAUCGUUUUCCCAAGAGACUCGUAUGGCUUCCUCGUUCGAGUGAAUUAAAAUAAUAA